UUGAAAGGGAAACGAUUGAAGUCAGUCGUACCUGUGGGUAAUCAGCCUUUUGGGUGUGAUUUUGUGGAGUGUGAGGAGUUAAACGCCUUCAUGCCUGCAUAUUCGUGCACUUUGGGUGUAUUUACCCGUGUGGUAAGUUAACAUCAAUUUCGGUGGUCAUAAAAUGGCUGGAGGAAUGUAGCUUUGAUCUCGUAUUGAAGUGUUAUAGCCUUCGGUAGAUGUGAUAAUCGGGAUUGAGGAUUGCAACGGAUACCCUUCGGGGCUACCUGUCUGAUCUCUGAUCGUUGCUCCGGUGCCGAAAGCUUGCUUACGGUUAUCAAAGUCGAUGGUCAAUAGGUUAGAAUGGGUUAAAUUCGUUAAGGAUGUUGACGUA
rnacentral:rRNA from 1 species